ACAUAUCUCAUAUCUCAAGGCUGAAUCUGAAAACCAGGGAGUAGCUAGUGUAACUGCCUUUUCAUUCAAUUUUCAAGUUCUGCGUAUUCUCUAAGCAAUGGAGCACGGUGAAAGCAGCAAUGGAAAGAAGCUGAACGCAGAAGAAAUUGCUGCCAUGACAAAAAUGACAGUGGAGAAAAUAAAGUGUCUUUACAGUAAUAGACGCCUUGGCCAUAACACUACAGUUACUUUUCAUGACAUGACUUCAGUUGGCUAUGGUUGGCUCCUACCUGGCUGGGUAGCUGAAGAACGUCGGGUAGAGAGUGGCCGGAUCUAUCGUUACUACUAUGACCCAGAUGGAGAAUAUUAUCCCACGCAAAAAAAGGUGCUAGACGCUUUUAAGGAGCGUGGAGUAAUUGUUGUGGACACUUAGAUCAAUAGGUCUUUGUGUUGUGAUCUUAUACAUUGUUGCGAGAACUUCUAAACUUGGGGAUCUAUGGGUGGAAUGAAGUUCAUCUUUUUAUGUUGUAUUGUUGUUUUUCAUCUACUAAUAAAGUUAUAAGUAUUUUAUUUGU